UAAAAUAAUUAAGGGCACACAAAGGAUGCCUAGGUAGUAAGAGCCGAUGAAGGACGUGGUAAGCUGCGAUAAGCCUAGAUAAGUUGCAAUCGAACGUAAGAGUCUAGGAUUUCCGAAUGGAGCAAUCUAUUAAGAUGGAGUCUUAAUACGAAAGAGGGAACCGCGUGAACUGAAACAUCUAAGUAACGCGAGGAAAAGAAAGUAAAAACGAUACCCAAAGUAGCGGCGAGCGAAAUGGGUCAAGCCUAAACCUUAAAUAUGUCAAGGAUACAGCCGUUGUAUUUAAGGGGUUGAGGGACAGAGUAGUGAAGAACUGUAAGAUAUUCAAUAUAGUGUAUUGAUGAAUUGGAAUUGUCUGGAAAGGCGAACCGUAGAAGGUGAAAGUCCUGUACAAGUAAAUCCUUACACAUAUAACUCUGCUCCCAAGUAACAUGGAACACGAGGAAUUCUGUGUGAAUCUGUGAGGACCAUAUCUCAUAAGGCUAAAUACUCUUACUAACCGAUAGCGCAUAGUACCGUGAGGGAAAGGUGAAAAGAACCCCUGGAGGGGAGUGAAAUAGAACCUGAAAUUGUGUGCUUACAAGCGGUCAGAGCCAGUAAUGGUGAUGGCGUGCCUUUUGGAGAAUGAUCCUGCGAGUUACGUUAAACGGCGAGGUUAAGUAUAACGGAGCCGAAGGGAAACCAAGUCUUAAUAGGGCGAUUUAGUCGUUUGGCGUAGACGCGAAACCUGGUGAUCUAAACCUGUCCAGGAUGAAGCUGUGGUAAGACACAGUGGAGGUCCUAACCCACCGCCGUUGAAAAGUUGGGGGAUGAGGUAGGUUUAGGGGUGAAAAGCCAAUCGAACCAGGAGAUAGCUCGUUCUCUCCGAAAUGUAUCUAGGUACAGCCUUGAGUGUUCAAUUAUGGGGGUAGAGCACUGAAUGAUCUAGGGGGCGUAUUGCUUACUGAAAUCAAUCAAACUCCGAAUACCAUAAUUUAUAGCUCAGGAGUGAGACUAUGGGAGUUAACUUCCAUUGUCGAAAGGGAAACAACCCAGACCACCAGCUAAGGUCCCUAAUUAUAACUAAGUGGGAAAGGAGGUGGAGAUUCACAAACAACUAGGAGGUUGGCUUAGAAGCAGCCAUACCUUUAAAGAGUGCGUAAUAGCUCACUAGUCGAGAGUCUCUGCGCCGACAAUGUAACGGGGCUAAGUUAUAAACCGAAGCUGUGGAAUCCGUAAGGAUUGGUAGGAGAGCGUUCUGUAGGCCGUUGAAGGAGAAGGGUAACCGACUCUGGAGGUAUCAGAAGUGAGAAUGCAGGAAUAAGUAGCGAGAAAGGGGGCGAGAAUCCCCCUCGCCGGAAGACCAAGGUUUUCAGGGUAAAGCUUGUCUUCCCUGAGUAAGCCGGGACCUAAGCCCAGGCUAUAAUGCGUAGGCGAAUGGAAAACAGAUUAAUAUUUCUGUGCCAGUCAUAUAUUGUGAUGGAGGGACGCAGAAGGGUAUGCGCGCGGACGAACGGAAGUGUCCGUAGAAGUAUGUAGGAUGACUUGAUAGGAAAAUCCAUUGAGUUAUAUCUGAGGUAUGAUAUACAGUCGUAAGAUGAAUGCGCAAAUCCCACGCUGCCAAGAAAAGCUUCUAACGUUAAUAUUUGACUGCCCGUACUGCAAACCGACACAGGUGGUCAGGAUGAGAAAUCUAAGGCGGACAGGCUAACUCUCGUUAAGGAACUCUGCAAAAUAACCUCGUAACUUCGGGAGAAGAGGAGCCCUUGAGGGUCAGUAUCCACGCGAUACAAAGCGCUCGAGGGUCGCAGUGAAGAGGCUCAAGCAACUGUUUAACAAAAACACAGGUCUAUGCUAAGCUGGAAGGCGAUGUAUAUGGGCUGACACCUGCCCAGUGCUGGAAGGUUAAGAGGAGGAGUGAGAGCUCCGAAUUGAAGCCCCAGUGAACGGCGGCCGUAACUAUAACGGUCCUAAGGUAGCGAAAUUCCUUGUC
rnacentral:rRNA from 1 species